rnacentral:rRNA from 1 species
UACGUAGGGGGCGAGCGUUAUCCAGAUUUACUGGGCGUAAAGGGCGCGUAGGCGGUCAGCACAAGUCAGUUGUGAAAUCUCCGGGCUUAACUCGGAAAGGUCAACUGAUACUGUGCGACUAGAGUGCAGAAGGGGCAACUGGAAUUCUCGGUGUAGCGGUGAAAUGCGUAGAUAUCGAGAGGAACACCUGCGGCGAAGGCGGGUUGCUGGGCUGACACUGACGCUGAUGCGCGAAAGCCAGGGGAGCGAACGGG